UGGGGAAUUGUUCACAAUGGGCGCAAGCCUGAUGACGCAACGCCGCGUGGAGGAUGAAGGUCUUCGGAUUGUAAACUCCUGUUGCUCGGGACGAAUGGCUCCAACCUAAUACGUUGGAGUGUGACGGUACCGAGUGAGGAAGCCCCGGCUAACUCUGUGCCAGCAGCCGCGGUAAUACAGAGGGGGCAAGCGUUGUUCGGAAUUACUGGGCGUAAAGGGCGCGUAGGCGGCCUGCUAAGUCGAACGUGAAAUCCCUGGGCUCAACCCAGGAACUGCGUCCGAUGCUGACAGGCUUGAAUCCGGGAGAGGGAUGCGGAAUUCCAGGUGUAGCGGUGAAAUGCGUAGAUAUCUGGAGGAACACCGGUGGCGAAGGCGGCAUCCUGGACCGGCAUUGACGCUGAGGCGCGUAAGCUAGGGGAGCAAACGGGAUUAGAUACCCGGUAGUCCUAGCCUAAACGAUGAAUGCUUGGUGUGGCGGGUA
rnacentral:rRNA from 1 species